CUUCCCUGCUCCUCCCUUUUCUAAUUUCCUUGUUUCCCUUUCAGACAGGAAAUGGAUUUUACUUUUGUUUCCUGUAAACUGCAUGGGAUCUUUCCAAAAUGGGUUAGAAACAAGAUUUGUGACCGGAGAAGGAUGCAGGUUUCUUAUCCCACUACAUCACCUCUACAUAAAUAUCAGACCAGUGAUGUCACUGUCCCGCCCUGUCAACCAACCACAGGCCAGUUGCCAUGGAUACUCCUGGGUGGGCAGCAACUGCUUUCCACAUCAUACAGAAGGAGGAAGAGCAGACAUCUGGUUUUAUGUGUGCUGGAUGUGUAUGCUUUUUGUGCAGUGUGAGUGUGUGUCUAUAUGCAAACACACUGUGUGGGAUAUAAAGACGGACAAAACAAGAGAUGAAGUGUAACCGCACUAUGUGUUUCUGCAGGAUACUGUGUGUGUGCUGUGCGGGAUAUGUAGAAAAGUUGAUUUCUAGGUACACUUCUUCUGAGUUUUUCUUUUUUACAGUUGUACCACAAGUUACUGCUUAUUGUAGAUCUGCUCAAGGUUUCUUGCCAAUUCAUUAAAAGGAAUAUUUUCUUCUUUC